rnacentral:rRNA from 1 species
AGUGAACGCUGGCGGCAGGCCUAACACAUGCAAGUCGAACGGCAGCACAAGAUAGCUUGCUCUCUGGGUGGCGAGUGGCGGACGGGUGAGGAAUGCAUCGGAAUCUGCCCAUUUGUGGGGGAUAACCUCGGGAAACCGGGACUAAUACCGCAUACGACCUACGGGUGAAAGCAGGGGAUCUUCGGACCUUGCGCAGAUGGAUGAGCCGAUGCCGGAUUAGCUAGUUGGAGGGGUAAAGGACCACGAAGGCGACGAGCCGUAGCUGGUCUGAGAGGAUGGCCAGCCACACUGGGACAGAGACACGGCCCAGACUCCUGCGGGAGGCAGCAGUGGGGAAUAUUAGGCAAUGGGGGCAAGCCUGAUCCAGCCACGCCGCGUGUGUGAAGAAGGCGUUCGGGUUGUAAAGCACUUUUGUUGGGAAAGAAAAGCAGCCGGUUAAUACCCGGUGGUCAUGACGGUACCCAAAGAAUAAGCACCGGCUAACUUCGUG